CUGAUGCAGCCAUGCCGCGUGUGUGAAGAAGGCCUUCGGGUUGUAAAGCACUUUCAGUUGUGAGGAAAAGUUAGUAGUUAAUACCUGCUAGCCGUGACGUUAACAACAGAAGAAGCACCGGCUAACUCCGUGCCAGCAGCCGCGGUAAUACGGAGGGUGCGAGCGUUAAUCGGAAUUACUGGGCGUAAAGCGCACGCAGGCGGUUUGUUAAGCUAGAUGUGAAAGCCCCGGGCUCAACCUGGGAUGGUCAUUUAGAACUGGCAGACUAGAGUCUUGGAGAGGGGAGUGGAAUUCCAGGUGUAGCGGUGAAAUGCGUAGAUAUCUGGAGGAACAUCAGUGGCGAAGGCGACUCCCUGGCCAAAGACUGACGCUCAUGUGCGAAAGUGUGGGUAGCGAACAGGAUUAGAUACCCUGGUAGUCCACACCGUAAACGCUGUCUACUAGCUGUGUGUGCCUUUAAGGCGUGCGUAGCGAAGCUAACGCGCUAAGUAGACCGCCUGGGGAGUACGGCCGCAAGGUUAAAACUCAAAUG
rnacentral:rRNA from 1 species